rnacentral:rRNA from 1 species
CCUACGGGCGGCUGCAGUGAGGAAUAUUGGUCAAUGGACGCAAGUCUGAACCAGCCAUGUCGCGUGCAGGAAGAAGGUCCUAUGGAUUGUAAACUGCUUUUAUAUGGGGGUAAUUACAGAUACGUAUACCUGCAUGAAAGUACCGUAUGAAUAAGGAUCGGCUAACUCCGUGCCAGCAGCCGCGGUAAUACGGAGGAUCCGAGCGUUAUCCGGAUUUAUUGGGUUUAAAGGGUGCGUAGGCGGUCAGUUAAGUUAGUGGUGAAAGCUUGCGGCUCAACAUCAAAACUGCCGCUGAUACUGGCUGACUAGAGUGUAGUAGCGGAAGGCGGAAUGUGUGGUGUAGCGGUGAAAUGCUUAGAUAUCACACAGAACACCGAUUGCGAAGGCAGCUUUCCAAGCUACUACUGACGCUGAGGCACGAAAGUGUGGGGAGCGAACAGGAUUAGAUACCCUUGUAGUC